CCUACGGGAGGCAGCAGUGGGGAAUUUUGGACAAUGGGCGCAAGCCUGAUCCAGCAAUGCCGCGUGAGUGAAGAAGGCCUUCGGGUUGUAAGGCUCUUUUGUCAGGGAAGAAACGGCUGAGGUUAAUACCUUCGGCUAAUGACGGUACCUGAAGAAUAAGCACCGGCUAACUACGUGCCAGCAGCCGCGGUAAUACGUAGGGUGCAAGCGUUAAUCGGAAUUACUGGGCGUAAAGCGUGCGCAGGCGGUUUUGUAAGUCUGACGUGAAAUCCCCGGGCUCAACCUGGGAAUUGCGUUGGAGACUGCAAGGCUGGAGUCUGGCAGAGGGGGGUAGAAUUCCACGUGUAGCAGUGAAAUGCGUAGAGAUGUGGAGGAACACCGAUGGCGAAGGCAGCCCCCUGGGUCAAGACUGACGCUCAUGCACGAAAGCGUGGGGAGCAAACAGGAUUAGAUACCCUGGUAGUCCACGCCCUAAACGAUGUCUACUAGUUGUCGGGUCUUAAUUGACUUGGUAACGCAGCUAACGCGUGAAGUAGACCGCCUGGGGAGUACGGUCGCAAGAUUAAAACUCAAAAGGAAUUGACGG
rnacentral:rRNA from 1 species